rnacentral:lncRNA from 1 species
UUCGAGCAUGCUUUGUGCUUUUUCGUGCCGUGUUAUUCUUGCCCGAGUGCUGUUUGCUGCUUUUUCUUGUUGGUGCAGGAUUCCGGAGUUUGGGAAGUUUUUCGUGAAGUUGUGAGCGUUUUUGGAUCAAGAGGCAACUAACGGGACAACUGCUGUAGCCAGAGGCGGCCGCCUUCUCUAGGCCACCACCUACUUCUAGGCCACCGCUUUCUCUAGGCCACCGCCUACUUCUAGGCCACCGCCUUCUCUAGGCCACCGCCUACUUCUAGGCCACCGCCUUCUCUAGGCGGCCGCCUACUGCGUGUUCUGGCAGUUACGAAUUUUUUAGUUUAAAACCCAUCUCUAGGGUUUCACUUUAUAUUCACGAACCCAGCAGCCUCUAGGGGCGAUUUUCACCUCUUUCUUAAGGUUUUUAGAGUUUCACAACACUUACUUUCGAUCUUGG